rnacentral:rRNA from 1 species
GUACCUGACUAAGAAGCACCGGCUAAAUACGUGCCAGCAGCCGCGGUAAUACGGAAGGUCCGGGCGUUAUCCGGAUUUAUUGGGUUUAAAGGGAGCGUAGGCCGGAGAUUAAGCGUGUUGUGAAAUGUAGAUGCUCAACAUCUGCACUGCAGCGCGAACUGGUUUCCUUGAGUACGCACAAAGUGGGCGGAAUUCGUGGUGUAGCGGUGAAAUGCUUAGAUAUCACGAAGAACUCCGAUUGCGAAGGCAGCUCACUGGAGCGCAACUGACGCUGAAGCUCGAAAGUGCGGGUAUCGAACAGGACUAGAUACCCUGGUAGUCCGCACGGUAAACGAUGGAUGCCCGCUGUUGGUCUGAAUAGGUCAGCGGCCAAGCGAAAGCAUUAAGCAUCCCACCUGGGGAGUACGCCGGCAACGGUGAAACUCAAAGGAAUUGACGGGGGCCCGCACAAGCGGAGGAACAUGUGGUUUAAUUCGAUGAUACGCGAGGAACCUUACCCGGGCUUGAAUUGCAGAGGAAGGAUUUGGAGACAAUGACGCCCUUCGGGGCCUCUGUGAAGGUGCUGCAUGGUUGUCGUCAGCUCGUGCCGUGAGGUGUCGGCUUAAGUGCCAUAACGAGCGCAACCCCUCUCCUUAGUUGCCAUCAGGUAAGGCUGGGCACUCUGGGGACACUGCCACCGUAAGGUGUGAGGAAGGUGGGGAUGACGUCAAAUCAGCACGGCCCUUACGUCCGGGGCUACACACGUGUUACAAUGGCAGGUACAGAGAGACGGUCUGAUGCAAAUCAGAUCCAAUCCUUAAAGCCUGUCUCAGUUCGGACUGGGGUCUGCAACCCGACCCCACGAAGCUGGAUUCGCUAGUAAUCGCGCAUCAGCCAUGGCGCGGUGAAUACGUUCCCGGGCCUUGCACACACAGCCCGUCAAG